UUAUUUUCAAAUAUUUCGAAUCCAUUGGAAUUAGCUACGGUUUUUGAAAACGACCACAUUGAUCGAUAAAAUUA